ACUCUCCCUCAGUCUUCCACUCUCCUCCAGGCUUUAGAAACUCUCAAUAUCAUCCCACACCUGAUGCGUCAUGUGACCAGCGAGACAUGUGUGCAACUAUUCAGCAGCAAUCAUCGGAAAACAGGAUCUCAGACAGUGACUUCACAAGGGUCGAUAGACACGGGUGCCUGUGCAGCCAGCUCGAAUCUUAGAAAAGUUUCCCAUCGUCCAAGCACAGCAAAGUGUAAUUACCACAGCAAGGACCUCCAGCAGACUCACAGCAUUGUGGCCUGAUCAAUGGGCUUCGCUGGAGUCAAAGUGAAGAGAAAAGACAUCAGGAAAAUAAAGAAAGGGGAGGAUCGGUACGCUGGAGAGAGGGAUGAAAGGAGGACAGGAGGAGCAUUAAAGAUCUGAGCUAGCCGACGGUGCCCUUAUUGAACCAGGUUAAGAGCUUCACUCAGGAAGUCAGGAAGAGAUUUGCCUUUAAUUGCAGACAGCUCUCAAGCAGUGGGAAUGUCUCCAACCUGCAUCCCCAGGUGCUGGGGUCAGGGGUCAGCCCUUUGUCAUGGGGCACCGCCGCCGGGGCCAAUGGAAUCCCGCCGUUGCCAUGGGCUUCUUCGACGACAGCACAGGACAGAGAGAGCCUGGCAGCGAAAUGAACUGCAUUUUAACUUCAAGGGGAGCUCUGUGGGGCCCCUGGGGGUCGUGCACCUCUGACCCCCACUGACCUGCGGAAGGUAUGCGAGUCUGGAAACAGAAUAAAGAUGUGUUGAGGGAGAGCUGAUCCCCUGCAAAACUGCAAAACUGCAAAACUACCGCCCCAAAAAAAACAUGUUUUUAACAUGCUUUACCGUACCUCUAUAAGGCUGCACACUGACGCCGCACACAUACAAUAGGAAUGGAGCGCUUCCCACAAUGCCUUUCUCCAGUACGUUAGACUAAAUGUUUAGCCAUGUGUAAUCCUAAAGUUAAGGACAUUAAUGUGAAACCAGCACGGCCUCUGUCUGUCUCUGUGGUUUGUCUCCUCUCUCCUCCGCAGUGGAGGAAGGCAUUGCUGGCAGGCGCAGGGAGAGUGUCUGGGCAGGAUGCCCAGGCGAGGGAGGCUGGCGGUGCUGUGAUGGACUGUGUGGACAGCACUGACACACUCAAUCACAGCCUUCCCUGACAGGGCAGGGAAACAGAGAGACACGCUGGGCAGCGCACAGCCCUAUAGAGGCAGGGGCUGCCAGUGAAAGACUUCAGUUACAGAUUCAAGCAACACAGAACGGUAUAGAAAUGGUUUAAACAGAGGGGCUGGUUCAUUAUCUCCUCUGUGCUUGUCCCAUGUCUUCUUUCACUGUGUAGGAAUGCAUUUUGCUAUCUUUUCACCGCUGCGUGCCGCAGUACACUUUGAGAAAGGUAAAAACAUUUUUCAGCCUUUGUUUGGAAGGAAGGCAGCACGGACGACAGACUCACAAGGCCUGGCAAGAAAGAGAAAAUCCUUUUUCACAGACUUGCCAAUUCUCAGGAAUUUUUUUCCCCAGGGAGCGAGUCUCAUUUUUCCUUGGCACUCGCUGUUUGGCACCUGACAACUCAC